rnacentral:rRNA from 1 species
GAUGAACGCUGGCGGCGUGCCUAAUACAUGCAAGUCGAGCGAACAGACGAGGAGCUUGCUCCUCUGACGUUAGCGGCGGACGGGUGAGUAACACGUGGAUAACCUACCUAUAAGACUGGGAUAACUUCGGGAAACCGGCGCUAAUACCGGAUAAUAUAUUGAACCGCAUGGUUCAAUAGUGAAAGACGGUUUUGCUGUCACUUAUAGAUGGAUCCGCGCCGCAUUAGCUAGUUGGUAAGUUAACGGCUUACCAAGGCAACGAUGCGUAGCCGACCUGAGAGGGUGAGCGGCCACACUGGAACUGAGACACGGUACAGACUCCUACGGGAGGCAGCAGUAGGGAAUCUUCCGCAAUGGGCGAAAGCCUGACGGAGCAACGCCGCGUGAGUGAUGAAGGUCUUCGGAUCGUAAAACUCUGUUAUUAGGGAAGAACAAAUGUGUAAGUAACUAUGCACGUCUUGACGGUACCUAAUCAGAAAGCCACGGCUAACUACGUG